rnacentral:misc_RNA from 1 species
GAUGAAGAACGCAGCGAACUGCGAUAAGUAAUGUGAAUUGUAGAAUUCAGUGAAUCAUCGAGUCUUUGAACGCACAUUGCGCCCCCUGGCAUUCCGGGGGGCAUGCCUGUCCGAGCGUCAUUGCUGCCCUUCAAGCCCGGCUUGUGUGUUGGGUCGUCGUCCCCCCCGGGGGACGGGCCCGAAAGGCAGCGGCGGCACCGCGUCCGGUCCUCGAGCGCAUGGGGCUUUGUCACCCGCUCGAUUAGGGCCGGCCGGGCGCCAGCCGGCGUCUCCAACCUUCUAUUUUACCAGGUUGACCUCGGAUCAGGUAGGGAUACCCGCUGAACUUAAGCAUAUCAAUAAGCGGAGGA